rnacentral:rRNA from 1 species
AUUGAACGCUGGCGGCAGGCCUAACACAUGCAAGUCGAGCGAGAGGCGGACGGGUGAGUAAUGUCUGGGAAACGGCCUGAUGGAGGGGGAUAACUACUGGAAACGGUAGCUAAUACCGCAUACCAGCAGCUAGGCCCAGAUGGGAUUAGCGUGUGGGUGGGGUAACGGCUGACCAAGGCGACGAUCCCUAGCUGGUCUGAGAGGAUGACCAGCCACACUGGAACUGAGACACGGGCCAGACUCCUACGGGAGGCAGCAGUGGGGAAGAUUGCACAAUGGGCGCAAGCCUGAUGCAGCCAUGCCGCGUGUAUGAAGAAGGCCUUCGGGUUGUAAAGUACUUUCAGCGGGGAGGCGUUACCCGCAGAAGAAGCACCGGCUAACUCCGUGCCAGCAGCCGCGGUAAUUC